ACGAACGCUGGCGGCGUGCUUAACACAUGCAAGUCGAACGGAAAGGCCUGCUUUCCCUUGUGGAUUGCGGGUACUCGAGUGGCGAACGGGUGAGUAACACGUGAGUGAUCUGCCCCCAACUUGGGUAUAAGCCUGGGAAACUGGGUCUAAUUCCCGAUAGGACUGCAGGGUGGUGCCUGUGGUGGAAAACGAUUUUCUAGUGGUUGGGGAUGAGCUCGCGGCCUAUCAGCUUGUUGGUGGGGUAAUGGCCUACCAAGGCGGCGACGGGUAGCCGGCCUGAGAGGGUGGACGGCCACAUUGGGACUGAGAUACGGCCCAGACUCCUACGGGAGGCAGCAGUGGGGAAUAUUGCAGAAUGGGCGGAAGCCUGAUGCAGCGACGCCGCGUGGGGGAUGACGGCCUUCGGGUUGUAAACUCCUUUCGACCGCGAGGAAGCCACCUGGUUGGAAGGGUGGUGACGGUAGUGGUAGAAGAAGCACCGGCUAACUACGUG
rnacentral:rRNA from 1 species